rfam:Tupaia belangeri cont1.200723, whole genome shotgun sequence.
AGGGAGGGAGGCUGCGGACGAGAGCGGGGAGGAGUUUGCAAUGGGAGGUGCUUGCAGGGGCUCCCCAGUUCUGCGCUGUGAGCCGGGGCACAAAGAGAGCCCUCUGCACCUCGUGCCGCAGGACCGCGGACCCGAGG